rnacentral:rRNA from 1 species
UACGUAGGGGGCAAGCGUUGUCCGGAUUUAUUGGGCGUAAAGAGCGUGUAGGCGGUUUGGUAGGUCCGCUGUGAAAACUCGAGGCUCAACCUCGAGACGCCGGUGGAAACCAUCAGGCUAGAGUCCGGAAGAGGAGAGUGGAAUUCCUGGUGUAGCGGUGAAAUGCGCAGAUAUCAGGAAGAACACCCGUGGCUAAGGCGGCUCGCUAGUACGUGACUGACGCUGAGACGCGAAAGCGUGGGGAGCGAACAGG